AAACUGCCGGAGGCUAUGUUUAUUUGAGAGUCAGUCUUCGUCGGGAGUGCCGGCCCGAAGCCACUUGAUGGUCUCCUCUAUGGGUGCUCGAGCAGUGUGCGAGAAAUUCCAACCAACCCAAUCGGGAGCCAGCAUGAAGAAGAGCAGCGUCCGGUAGAGAGUUUGAUUCCCGUCCGACCCCUGGGGCGAGAAUGUCGCCAGGCCGCAGCUGUUCCAGCUCUUCCAGGUACCCCAGUCGGGACUCUGGACUCUCUCAUCUCUGCGUGUGCGUGUGUGUGUGUGGACUAGUGCGGUUGUGUGUUUUUAUGGCAUUUGUGGAUUAGGCCCAUAAAAACUACACUUCCCCACGGAGAUACGUAGCGCACUAACAAAGGAUGAAAAUUGGAAAAGUCCCGCAGCCACUCAACUGAUACAACCUGUGGCACUGGAGAUUACAGCGGAGCUGUUUCUUUUAUGGUUUGUUCCGCUUUUGUUUAAGAAUCCGCACGCAAUCCCACCACCAGCUCAACUCAACUCAAUUCAACUCAACUCAACUCGUCCCGUCAAUUCCAUCCCUCUUUCCGUUUGAGGAGCAACUCAAAAUAGUGUUUUAUUGCUGUAAAUGUUCUUUCAGUUAUUUAUUUUUUAUUUGCCACUGCUCUGCGAUCUCCGCACUCCACCCUGCUCGCUCAGCCACCGUUACCCCAGUUUCAAAUUUUAUUAGUUUAUUACGAUUAUUAUCGUUUAAUGGGGCUCGUUUGCACCGCUCACGCUGACGCUCACUCGUAUUGUUUUUUAGUAGUUGUAUGUAUGUAUGUAGUUCUUUCUGGUUGUUGUUGCUGCUGCUGCUGCUUGGGCAACGUGUGAAGUUGUUUUAUUAUUUGUUUUGAUUAUCAAAAUGAACGUUUUACAUUUUUCCGGUCGUUGGGCGGACCACCUGCCCAUGGCCCAGAGCCCAUAGCCUAUGGCUGAAAAGCAGUAAAUCACUGCCCGCUGUGAGUGCUCCGUGAGUAUGUGCGAGUGCACCCAGUGGGGCCAGACACUCACUCGCUCAUUCGCACUCGGUGUAUGACCCAUAAAGUUGAAACAAAGUGUGGCAAAAUGUUUAAUUUGGAAUUUAUGAGCAAUUAAUUUUAAAAUACCAUGCUGUCCGUUAACGCUGUUCCCCCACCCCGUUCCAACCAUAAAAGAUUCAGCAAAAAUUUGAUUAUUUAGCCACUCCGCUGAUUAAUCAUUAUUCAAUUGUUAACGCACUCCGCGAACAUGGGAUUUGGCAAUCCGAGCCAGGCAGGCAAAUUGGGCAACGGCUAUAAAACUAAUCGAAAACCAAUUUCAAUUGAAUUAUCGGGGUGGAUCAAAUCCUGGUGUAAGUGGCAGAUACAGAGUGCUUGUGGAUGAGGGAAUUCAAUUGAAAUAGAUAUCCGAAAUAUUUGUAAUUUAAAAAUGUUUUUUUUUACAAUGAAUAAGUCUAGAUUUUAAUUCAAAAGUUGUAAGUUGUAAGAUCUAAAAAUGAUUGUGAUACAAAAAAUGGAAAUAAAACACUGUUAUUUUAGCCGA
rnacentral:sRNA from 15 species